rnacentral:snRNA from 1 species
GUGCUUGCUUCGGCAGCACAUAUACUAAAGUUGGAACUAUACGGGAAUAUUAGCAUGACUCCUGCACAAGGAUGACAUGCAAAUUUGGAAACUGUUCCAUAUUUUU